rnacentral:rRNA from 1 species
AUUGAACGCUGGCGGCAGGCCUAACACAUGCAAGUCGAGCGGCAGCGUGGGAAAGCUUGCUUUCCCGCCGGCGAGCGGCGGACGGGUGAGUAAUGUCUGGGAAACUGCCUGAUGGAGGGGGAUAACUACUGGAAACGGUAGCUAAUACCGCAUAACGUCUUCGGACCAAAGUGGGGGACCUUCGGGCCUCAUGCCAUCAGAUGUGCCCAGAUGGGAUUAGCUAGUUGGUGGGGUAACGGCUCACUAAGGCGACGAUCCCUAGCUGGUCUGAACGGAGGACGAGGAGAGCUGGAACUGAGACACGGUCCAGAGUGCUACGGGAGGCAGCGGUGGGGAAUAUUGCACGGUGGGCGAAAGCGUGAUGGAGCGAUGCCGAGUGUAUGAAGAAGGCAUUCGGGUUGUAAAGUACUAUCAGCGGGGAGGAAGGUGUGGUGGUUAAGAACCAGAGCAAUUGACGUUGCCCGCAGAAGAAGCACCGGCUAACACCGUGCCAGCCGCCGCCGUAACAC